CCUACGGGUGGCAGCAGUGGGGAAUAUUGGACAAUGGGGGCAACCCUGAUCCAGCCAUGCCGCGUGUGUGAAGAAGGCCCUCGGGUUGUAAAGCACUUUCAGUGAGGAAGAACGCCUGGUGGUUAAUACCCAUCAGGAAAGACAUCACUCACAGAAGAAGCACCGGCUAACUCCGUGCCAGCAGCCGCGGUAAUACGGAGGGUGCGAGCGUUAAUCGGAAUUACUGGGCGUAAAGCGCGCGUAGGUGGCUUGAUAAGCCGGUUGUGAAAGCCCCGGGCUCAACCUGGGAACGGCAUCCGGAACUGUCAAGCUUGAGUGCAGGAGAGGAAGGUAGAAUUCCCGGUGUAGCGGUGAAAUGCGUAGAGAUCGGGAGGAAUACCAGUGGCGAAGGCGGCCUUCUGGACUGACACUGACACUGAGGUGCGAAAGCGUGGGUAGCAAACAGGAUUAGAUACCCUAGUAGUC
rnacentral:rRNA from 1 species